rnacentral:rRNA from 1 species
UACGAAGGGGGCUAGCGUUGUUCGGAAUUACUGGGCGUAAAGGGCGCGUAGGCGGCGUGUCAAGUCAGGCGUGAAAGCCCCGGGCUCAACCUGGGAACCGCGCUUGAGACUGGCAUGCUCGAGUUCGGGAGAGGAUGGUGGAAUUCCCAGUGUAGAGGUGAAAUUCGUAGAUAUUGGGAAGAACACCGAUGGCGAAGGCAGCCAUCUGGACCGACACUGACGCUGAGGCGCGAAAGCGCGGGGAGCAAACAGG